AGGAUCAUUAUCGUAUUAUAAACUUGAACAGGCUGUUGCUGGCUCUCCCUCUGGAGUGUGUGUGCACGCUUGUCUCAUCUUUAUUAUUUCUCCAACUGUGCACAUUUUGUAGAUCCUGGAACGGCCUUUUAUGAAUGUUCUCAUUCGAGUAGGGACUGCUGUUGCUUUUCAUUGAGAGGCCGGCUUUGCCUUUUUGCCUCCGGGUCUAUGUCAUUUUUCACAACCUCUCAAACGAGUUUAGAAUGUCUUUAUUAUGUGAAAAUAUACAACUUUCAGCAACGGAUCUCUUGGCUCUCGCAUCGAUGAAGAACGCAGCGAAAUGCGAUAAGUAAUGUGAAUUGCAGAAUUCAGUGAAUCAUCGAAUCUUUGAACGCAUCUUGCGCUCCUUGGUAUUCCGAGGAGCAUGCCUGUUUGAGUGUCAUUUGACCUAUCAACCGCUUCAUGGUGAACAUGGAUGUGGCUUUGGAUGUGGGGGUCUUUGCAGGCUUUUUUGAAUGUAAAAGAGGUCAGCUCCCCUGAAACGCAUUAGUGGCAUCCGAGCUGCUACUAUAGGUGUGAUAAAUUAUCUAUGCCUUUGGUAUGCGGCAUGAACGGAUUGCGCUGCUCACAACGA
rnacentral:rRNA from 1 species